rnacentral:rRNA from 1 species
GGGUUGUGAGGUUAAGCGACUAAGCGUACACGGUGGAUGCCCUGGCAGUCAGAGGCGAUGAAGGGCGUGCUAAUCUGCGAUAAGCGCCGGUAAGGUGAUAUGAACCGUUAUAACCGGCGAUACCCGAAUGGGGAAACCCAGUGUGACUCGUCACACUAUCAUUAACUGAAUCCAUAGGUUAAUGAGGCGAACCGGGGGAACUGAAACAUCUAAGUACCCCGAGGAAAAGAAAUCAACCGAGAUUCCCCCAGUAGCGGCGAGCGAACGGGGAGGAGCCCAGAGCCUGAAUCAGCAUGUGUGUUAGUGGAAGCGUCUGGAAAGGCGCGCGAUACAGGGUGACAGCCCCGUACACAAAAGCGCAUGUGCUGUGAGCUCGAUGAGUAGGGCGGGACACGUGGUAUCCUGUCUGAAUAUGGGGGGACCAUCCUCCAAGGCUAAAUACUCCUGACUGACCGAUAGUGAACCAGUACCGUGAGGGAAAGGCGAAAAGAACCCCGGCGAGGGGAGUGAAAAAGAACCUGAAACCGUGUACGUACAAGCAGUGGGAGCACCCUUUGGGUGUGACUGCGUACCUUUUGUAUAA